GUCCCGCCAAAUGCGGCACCUUUCUUACCAGUUUAGGCGACAUAGUGACGCCUGCACUUUGAGUUCUCUUAAUUUUAGAUACUUUUUAGAACGCGCACGGGAUCUUUUUAUUUACCUAUAGUUUUUCCCCCCUAGCGAGCCAUCUGUUCGCUUCUGUCCAGUCAAUCCCAGUGGGAUUGAGCUGGUUGGCAAUCGGGGAUGUCAACAGAAGUGAUAUGAAAGCAACGUGCACUAAAACCCAAUCCCCAUUCCAUUUAUUCGUUUUAGAUGCUACGAAAAGAAAACAAGGAGGAAACGCAGGUGGACAGCUAAAGGAACUUACGGAUAGAUUCACAUAUAUAUAUAUAAAUAUAUAUAUAUAUAUAUAAAGGAUGGGGUCAGUUGGAUUUAAGAAACACAUUUACAGAGGCGUCUUCAAUGAUAUGUCUUGAAAUAUGUGUAUUUGUGCUUCUAAGUUGGAUAAGCCCAAGGAUAU